rnacentral:rRNA from 1 species
UACGUAGGGGGGCGAGCGUUGUCCGGAUUUAUUGGGCGUAAAGAGCUCGUAGGCGGUUUGUCGCGUCUGCCGUGAAAGUCCGGGGCUCAACUCCGGAUCUGCGGUGGGUACGGGCAGACUAGAGUGCGGUAGGGGAGAUUGGAAUUCCUGGUGUAGCGGUGGAAUGCGCAGAUAUCAGGAGGAACACCGAUGGCGAAGGCAGAUCUCUGGGCCGUAACUGACGCUGAGGAGCGAAAGCAUGGGGAGCGAACAGG